rnacentral:rRNA from 1 species
UACAGAGGGGGCAAGCGUUGUUCGGAAUUACUGGGCGUAAAGGGCGCGUAGGCGGCGUGCUAAGUCGAACGUGAAAUCCCCGGGCUCAACCCGGGAACUGCGUCCGAGACUGGCAUGCUUGAAUCCGGGAGAGGGAUGUGGAAUUCCAGGUGUAGCGGUGAAAUGCGUAGAUAUCUGGAGGAACAUCAAUGGCGAAGGCAGCUCGCUGGAACGGUACUGACGCUGAGGCGCGAAAGCGUGGGGAGCGAACAGG